rnacentral:rRNA from 1 species
GAGGUUCGAAGGCGAUCAGAUACCGCCCUAGUUCUAACCAUAAACGAUGCCAGCCAGCGAUCCGGCUGUGUUCCUCAAAUGACACGCCGGGCAGCUUCCGGGAAACCAAAGCUUUUGGGUUCCGGGGGAAGUAUGGUUGCAAAAUUCAAACUUAAAGGAAUUGACGGAAGCGCACACAAGGAAUGGAGCCUGCGGCUCAAUUUGACUCAACACGCGGAAAUUUACCAGGUCCGGACACAGGAAGGAUUGACAGAUUGAGAGCUCUUUCUUGAUUCUGUGACAAGUGGUGCAUGGCCGUCCCUAGUUGGUGGAGUGAUUUGUCUCGUCAAUUCAGAUAACGAUCGAGACUCUAGCCUACUAAAUAGACGUUCCGAUCAUCCUAGUCGGACGGUCUUCUUAGAGGGACAAGCAGCGUCUAGCUGCACGAGACAGAGCGAUGACAGGUCUGAGAUGCCCUUAGAUGUCCUGGGCCGCACGCGCGCUACAUUGAAGGAAUCAGCGUGUGCUUUCCCGGUCCGACAGGAUUGGGUAACCCGUUGAACCUCCUUCGUGCUUGGGAUAGAAAGCUGUAAUUGUUUUCUUGAACGAGGAAUUCCUAGUAAGCACGAAUCAUCAAUUCGUGCUGAUUAAGUCCCUGCGCUUUGUGCACACCGCCCGUCGCUGUUAGCGAUUGAGUGAUUUAGUGAGGCCUUCGGACUGGCGCACGGAUUGGCCUUCGGGUCGAGCCGUCGUGCCGGAAAGAUGACCAAACUUGAUUACUUAGAGGUAACAAAAGUCGUAACAARGUUU